AAUAAUAUUAACAUUUUGUGCUGGAAUGUGCGAGGCCUAAAUGAUAAGGCUCGUCGUUCCACUAUUAGAGAUACGGUCGUUGCGUCUCAGGUGUCUAUUGUUUGUCUUCAAGAAACUAAAAUUGAGGUCUUUUCUCCUUAUAUGGUUGCGCAAUGUCUUGGACCUUCCUUAGAUGAAUUUCGUUUUCUACCCGCGGAUGGGACUAGGGGGGAGGGGGGGGGGGAGGGGGAUUCUUAUUGCUUGGGACUCUUCGAAGGUCGAGGGUGA
rnacentral:rRNA from 1 species